UACGGAGGGUGCGAGCGUUGUCCGGAAUCACUGGGCGUAAAGGGCGCGUAGGCGGCCUGGUAAGUAGGGGGUGAAAUCCUGCGGCUUAACCGCAGGGCUGCCUUCUAAACUGUCAGGCUCGAGCACGGUAGAGGCAGAUGGAAUUCCCGGUGUAGCGGUGGAAUGCGUAGAGAUCGGGAAGAACAUCAGUGGCGAAGGCGGUCUGCUGGGCCGUUGCUAACGCUGAGGCGCGACAGCGUGGGGAGCAAACAGG
rnacentral:rRNA from 1 species